CACGUAGGGGGCAAGCGUUGUCCGGAUUUAUUGGGCGUAAAGAGCUCGUAGGCGGUCUGUCGCGUCGGCUGUGAAAACCCGGGGCUCAACCCCGGGCCUGCAGUCGAUACGGGCAGACUAGAGUGCGGUAGGGGAGACUGGAAUUCCUGGUGUAGCGGUGAAAUGCGCAGAUAUCAGGAGGAACACCGGUGGCGAAGGCGGUUCUCUGGGCAUGAUCUGACGCUGAGGAGCGAAAGUGUGGGGGAGCGAACAGG
rnacentral:rRNA from 1 species